rnacentral:rRNA from 1 species
GAUGAACGCUAGCGGGAGGCCUAACACAUGCAAGCCGAGCGGUAUUGUUUCUUCGGAAAUGAGAGAGCGGCGUACGGGUGCGUAACACGUGUGCAACCUGCCUUUAUCUGGGGGAUAGCCUUUCGAAAGGAAGAUUAAUACUCCAUAAUAUAUUUAACUGCAUCGUUUAAUAUUUAAAGCUCCGGCGGAUUGAGAUGUGCACGCGCAAGAUUAGCUAGUUGGUGAGGUAACGGCUCACCAAGGCGAUGAUCUUUAGGGGGCCUGAGGGGGUGAUCCCCCACACUGGUACUGCGACACGGACCAGACUCCUACGGGAGGCAGCAGUGAGGAAUAUUGGUCAAGGGGUGCAAGCCUGAACCAGCCAUCCCGCGUGAAGGACGACUGCCAUAGGGGUUGUAAACUUCUUUUGUAUAGGGAUAAACCUACCCUCGAGAGGGUAGCUGAAGGUACUAUACGAAUAAGCACCGGCUAACUCCGUG